CUGGAUCGGAAGCAGGGUGGUGAGGAUUUGAACUGGCGCUCCGAUACGGGAUGCCAGAGUUGCAGGUGGCGGCUGUGCCACGAUGCUGGCCCCUAACCUCGUCUUUGAGUUCCGUUUUCCGUGCAUGUUUGGAGUCUCCUCGUGAGCACGUCAUCUACUAAAUGGACUGUAAACGCAGCGCGCCCGUGCUCGCAUUCCUCAGCUUUCAGCCCGCACGGUGUUUAUUUGUAGUGGGAGCAGAGCUCUGAGUGUCUGCCAUGAACUCAUUUACAAGCAUUUUUGUCCCUGUUAUGUAAUGCCCUGGAUCGGGUGCUGGCUGUUUGGGUGUUACUGGGGGCAGGGGGUGGUUGUGGAGGAGGAGGAAGAAGACUGGAAAAAGACCUGAACCUCCCCGGGAGCCUCUCUCCGGUUCAGACGCAACAUACACAGAUGACACAACCAGCAAACAAUUGCAAAACAGAAAGAGAGUGUAACGAAACAGCCAUGUGCUGAGAGCUGCAAGCAGCGUGGGCGGCCGCGGAUGGCAGCAAACCGGGUUUGCCAGGAGUCUGGAGGGUCGCCAGGCCCACCGUCUAGGGGCUGGGGGUGGGGUGGGGAAUGUCGAGGAAGGGGCCAGCAUCCGCACCUCCUUGCGGGUACAGCCAGCGUGCCUCCUGCGGCGCUGAGACACGUCUGGCAAUGACCCUCAUGGUGGCAGAGACCCCACUUCUUGUUGCUACCGUGUGGCUGCCACACACCAUCACAUACAAGCCACGUCCAGGUCCCCCACCUCCCCCGGCCCACUGAUGCCUCUACCUGCCCAGACCUAUGUCUUCACCAGGAACUGUUAGGGCAUCCCCCACUGGCACAGCCCUGUCUAGGUUCUGCUGGGUAAGCCCUUGUCCUGCCUCUGCCUUUGUCCCCGAAGGGAGAAAGCUGAGCCCUUGGGUCCCUGCAGCCUUGAGGGCUCCGAGUGCUGGAAGCCAGGCGCGCCGUGCAGAGAACGCGGGUGGCUGGUGCAGUUCUUGCCUGCACAGGCUCUGGCCAACUCCAGGGGGCAGCUGUCCACUCGGGAUGUGCUGUCCUGCAGGGUUGUUCGUCCUGGUCACUGGGCUGGUUACCGAAUGUAGCACCCAAAGCCGGGGGUGUGGGGUGGGGAGGGCUUGAGGGCAGGAGCCGGUUGCUUGGGACAACGAGCGAGGUUCAGAGGGAGGUCCAAGCGGGCCUGUCCAUUGCUGGUAAUUUUUCAAAAGACAAACAGAACGCAAGCGCAUUUAUUCACAACGGGGUAAUGCGAUUGCCACACAAUCUGGAAAUGUUCCGGGAUCAGAGAGUUGCUGAGUGAGGGAGAAACGCAGCUGAAGACAACCAGGCAUCGUAUGAGUCAGCCGGCAGCCGAGGAUUGUGACGGUGAUGGCAGGACACAGUGGUCAGCUCCGUGGUUCAGCUCCAGCUUGGCCGUUGCCCUUCUAGGUGAUGCUGGGCAAAGCGCUUGAGCCCUGCGGUUCCAAUGACCUCGUCCGUAACAUGAGGAGGACAGCGGGGUGGCUGUGAGCCCUGAGUGAGCUCACGAACCCGACAUGCGUAGCUUGCCUGGUCCGGUGCUGGCGGCCCUCAGUCACAGGUGCCCACGGAGCACUUGGAAUGUGAGUUCUUCAAAUUGAGACAUCUCAUCUAAGGCCUGGGAAAGCAGUGGAAGAUGGCCCAAGUCCUUGGGCCCCUGCACCCACAUGGGAGACCCAGAAGAAGCUCCUGGCUCCUGGCUUCCGAUUGGUGCAGCUCCAGCCAUUGCAACCAUUUGAGGAGUGAACCAUCAGAUGGAAGACCUCUCUCUCUCUCUCUCUCUCUCUCUCUCUCUCUCUGCCUCUUGUAACUUUGCCUUUCAAACAAAUAAAUACAUCUUUAAAAAAGAGAGAGAGAUAAUUUCAGGGGUGGGUGUUCUGUGCAACCGUUGAGACACCACUUGGGACAUCUGCACCCCAGAUCGGAGCCUGGUUUGAGCCCUGGUUCUCCUUCCCAUCCCAGCUGUCAGCUAACAUGCACUCUGGGAGGCACAAGGCGCUGGCUCUAGUGGCUGAGUCCCUGCCGGCAUGUGGGAGGUUGGAUUGAGUUCCAGGCUCCUGGUUUAACCUGGCCAAGCUAUGGCUGCUAUGAGCAGGUAGGGAAAUAAACCAGAAGGUCUUGUCUCUGCCAUUGAUAUAAAGUGAAAAUGGAUAAAAAUGUAAAAACAUACAAGAUAAAAGUUGACAUGUGGGCAUUUGUCCUAGUCGUUCAGGUACCACGGAGCUGCCUGCGUCCCAUAUUACAGCGCCUGGAUUUGGGCACCAGUUCUGCUCCUGCUUCCUGCUUGUUGCUAACGCAAUCCCUGGCUGUUGGCUCAAUUUCUUGGGGCCCACCACCCACACGGGAAAUCCAGGACGAAUCCCCAGCUCCUGUCUUUGCCCUCAGCCCAGCCCCCACCAUCAUGGAAUUAGGAGUUAUAAACAAAAUAAAUAAAUUUAUAACAAGACAAUGUUGGGGACCGAUGUUGUGGCAUAGUGGGUAAAGCUGCUGCCUGCAGUACCAGCACCCCACAUGGGUACCGGUUCAAGUCCUGGCCGCUCCACUUCCGAUCCAACUUCCUGCUAAUGGCCUGGGAAAGCAAUGGAAGAGGGCCCAAGUCCUCGGGCCCCAGAAGAAGCUUCUGUCUCCUGGCUUGGGAUCGGCUCAGCUCUGGCCAUUGCGGCUAUUUGGAGAGUGAACCAGCGGAUAGAAGACCUCUCUCUGUUUCUCUCUCUCAUCUCUCUCUCUGCCUCUGCCUUUCC